AUCUUAUCAAGAGUGGUGGAGGGAUAUGCCCGAAGAAACCCGGCAACCUAAGUGGAUGAACGUGUCCAUUGCAAGGUGCUAAAUCAUACAGAGCGACAAAGCUUUGAGAGAUGAGAG
rnacentral:ncRNA from 2 species